CUCGAGGCCAGAUCUUUCCGGUUGAUCCUGCCGGACCCGACCGCUAUCGGGGUAGGGCUAAGCCAUGGGAGUAGAACGCCCCGCCGCUGCGGGGCGUGGCGGACGGCUGAGUAACACGUGGCUAACCUACCCUCGGGACGGGGAUAACCCCUCGGGAAACUGGGGCUAAUCCCCGAUAGGCGGGGGGUGCCUGGAAGGGUCCUCCGCCGAAAGGGGCCGCGGGGGGUUAUCGCCCGCGGUCCGCCCGAGGAUGGGGCUGCGGCCCAUCACGGUAGUUGGCGGGGUAAUGGCCCGCCAAGCCUACGACGGGUAGGGGCCGUGAGAGCGGGAGCCCCCAGAUGGGCACUGAGACAAGGGCCCAGGCCCUACGGGGCGCACCAGGCGCGAAAACUCCGCAAUGCGGGCAACCGUGACGGGGCUACCCCGAGUGCCCCCCUUGGGGGGGCUUUUCCCCGCUGUAAGUAGGCGGGGGAAUAAGCGGGGGGCAAGACUGGUGUCAGCCGCCGCGGUAAUACCAGCCCCGCGAGCGGUCGGGGUGUUUACUGGGCCUAAAGCGCCCGUAGCCGGCUCGACAAGUCCCCGCCUAAA
rnacentral:rRNA from 1 species